ACGGCGGACGGGGGAGUAACGCGUGGGUAACCUACCCUGUACACACGGAUAACAUACCGAAAGGUAUGCUAAUACGGGAUAAUAUAUUUGAGAGGCAUCUCUUAAAUAUCAAAGGUGAGCCAGUACAGGAUGGACCCGCGUCUGAUUAGCUAGUUGGUAAGGUAACGGCUUACCAAGGCGACGAUCAGUAGCCGACCUGAGAGGGUGAUCGGCCACAUUGGAACUGAGACACGGUCCAA
rnacentral:rRNA from 1 species